GCUGCUAUCGCUAGUUUGAACAAAAUGGCUGCAGAGGCACCACUAACGAAAGCCCACUGAAUGGUAGGAAUUAUCAUCGACGAUUUUUUAAUGGAUAUCUUGGAAAUACACACUCUCCAAAUACUGGAUUUUGCAAUAAUUUGCUCUCUUGGAUUCCUCUAUUUGCAAGCGAUUCAUAGUCGCGUGCUGUAAAUCAUUCUAUUGUUUUUGCACUUUAAAAAUGUCACCUCAUCAAAGACAAGCCGAGAGAAGAAGCAGGGAACACGAGACCAGAACCAUUUGAUGGAAGAAAAGAAUAAGAGAAAGCAAGAAGAAAAGAAAAAGAAGGAAGCUGCUCAGAAAAAGGUCACUGAACAGAAAACCAAAG